UUCUGUUAUACGUACUUGUCUUGUAAAGACGCAGACAACAGAAUAUAUCCGUGCGGCGUCCUCUUAAGAUGGUUCUUAAAUCGUGUUUUUGACACACGGUCACGGUUUAAGGUAUCUUAAAUCGUGCACACGGUACACGGGCAGUAACGGACGUCGUAACAUCGUCACCAUCGAACAACGGUCGUUGUCCUGACCGAGCUCCACAAAAUUGCAAACGCUCAUUCAUUAAAUAGAAAAUGGAUAUCCGUGGCCCCGAAUACUCCCUGAAACAACACUGAUUUAUACUGUACCAGUGAUGUUGUCAUUCGUCGUCAUUCUGGUAUUUGAAGAAUACAGUACGUAUAUGACAAAAUAUAUUUACAGUACAUAGAUUAAAGGAUGAUGUCGAUUACCGACUGCUCGUGGCCUGAACCGUCGGUUUUCCCAACAUCACAUUAACCGAGAGCCUGCUCAGCCCGGGUUGUUACUCCGGUCUUCAGUUACUUGUACGGAUAUUGGAUUUUAACAAGAGUUCAAGUAGAAGCAUAUUCUGCUUUUAAUACUACCCAAAAAAACAGUAACUGAAUGAUUAGUACCAUAUAUAAGGAUUGAUAUUAUAAACAUUAAAGUUUGCUUUUAAUAAAUAUAAAGUAAUUAAAAGUACAAAGAAAUUUUAAUCUAAUGCUAAUAUAAAUAAUUCUUUAUGUUCUGUUGGCUCUGCUUUGAAAUCUGUAUUCAUGGCAUAUACUGAGGCCAUUAUUCAAAAAUGCAUUUCACUUGUUUAAUAAACAUUGAACCAAAAUAUAGUUACUCUCUCUCUAAGGCCAAACCAGUUUGAUGCACCUGAUAAGAACUUCAUGAUUGUUGCUCUAAACCUACUAUUUAGCAAAUGGAUAGACAACAUUUAUUGGAAGUUUAAUAAAUGAUUCACAUACAUUAUAAUUGAUUAAAGAAUAUAUUAUGCAAGAUCCAUUAUAUGAAGUUAAGGAAAGUUAAUUUUAUCUUUUUAAAGAUCUUACUAAAGCAUGUUUACAACAUGUUCAUCCCUGUACAGACAGUAAAUAUUGGGAUGGGACAAAUUAAUCAUUAGCAAAAACAUGGGCGCCAAAAUGCUGUUGCCCACGAGUGGAAAUAUUGUAAAUACGGCCAUGACCUGCACAGUGACACAAUAAUAUAGGGACGACAAUCUCACCGCAUUUGUCAGCGCCACUUUGAUGCUGGUCGUCGGUACUUCGGCCGUGUCCGUGAUAGGACUGCUACUCUGUAUGUUGUGCACAGGACUCGCGAUGACCGCGUUCAUCGCCAACGUGGUGAAGAGUCCUGCGGUGCAACGUGCAUUGGUUAACUGUUUUACGGGAGUCGACGGUGAUAUGGUGUCGCUUUCCUCGUCUGUUUUAUCGGAUUGCGUGAGACGAGCGACCGCGACACUGUAGCCUUUGUGAUUUGGUUCGCCGCCCAGUCAGUUGGCACCGGCAUGUUUUCCGCGGCGGAGUUGCUCGGUUCUCCAGCCGACCGGAAAACCAGACUCCGCCGAAAGUCCGAUUGUCCACGUUGUAGACACCACAGCUGCAGACGUCGCUCCGCUCCCUGUCAGUGUGGAGAAGCCGUCCCCCGCGAGGGCCGAAACCAAAUACGUUUUUACCUAUAGGUAUAAUAAUUAAAAAUCAGAAAUUAAAUAAUGUUCUUUUUAUAUUGCCGAACUACAGUCAAAACACGUUCCAAUAUUAGAAGUAGAAAUAUGCCUUAUUUUCAAAAUUCGACGAAGGCGUUCUGAUGGACGAAGAGAGCUUUUACUCGGCCUAACCGGAGCUGCUUAUUAAGUAUAUAGCAGAGAAAUGUGGCAACGUAAAAGUGGUUGUGGACCCCUUUUUGUGGCGCAGGCAGCAACGUAAUUCAUCUGGCGAGAUGGUUUCACAAAGAUAUUGAUGCCGAUAAAAUAAUGAUGGCCAAGCAAAAUGCCAUGAUUUUUGGCGUACGUGAUAAAAUUGAGUUUGUUGUAGGAGACUUUUUCAAACUGGCAAAUCAAAUAAAGGGUGACGUUAUAGUCACAUCGCCACCAUGGGGCAGUCCAGAAUACAAUAAAAUGGAUGUAAUCGGGCUGUUGGAUUUGUGUAUGGAUAAGAUAAUGGAGGGAAAAUUAUGUUACAUCUACUGAAAAACAUAGAUAAAAAUGAAAAUGAAUAGAAAAAUAAAAUGGUUUGUACAUCAUUCAGCUUAAAUAUAAAUUGUUAUUAUUUAUGUGGAUCAACAAUUUAUAUUUUAAAUGUCUAUGUAGUGUUUGAAAAUGUGUAAAGGACUUGGUGCGGGGUUUCGAAAAAAUCGAAAAUGUGUUUAUGGACAGAUAUAUCAACUCGAUGUUGCUAUAAUAUGUCCGAUCCAAUAAUGACUUUAUUUAUAAAUACAGCUGACAACCUGAUGUCCGAUAUUUUUGUAUAUACUGGUCCACCCCAUGAUGGCAGCGAUCACGUCACCAUUCAUCAGAUUACUUACGCAUUGUGAAAAAGUUGCCAAUAAUUUCAUCAGAUACGCAAUGGAUCUUGGCAUUGCGCUAGGCCAGCAUCAUCUUGCCAGAUCUAUAUCUACAUUAAUGACAAUUCCAUUAAUAGUGCCUUUGUCGAACGGUCAGCUGUAUAACGUUUCUGCUGCAGUGCUGCGCCACAAAACGGGUCGAUGCAGAACAUAGGAAGUUCACCGGGCACCCACCGAACCGCAACAAACCAUUGUAAUUUCAAAUCCGGUCAUGCAAUGCUGAUUUAUUUUAUUUA